rnacentral:rRNA from 1 species
GACAGAGGAUGCAAGCGUUAUCCGGAAUGAUUGGGCGUAAAGCGUCUGUAGGUGGCUUUUUAAGUCCGCCGUCAAAUCCCAGGGCUCAACCCUGGACAGGCGGUGGAAACUACCAAGCUGGAGUACGGUAGGGGCAGAGGGAAUUUCCGGUGGAGCGGUGAAAUGCGUAGAGAUCCGGAAGAACACCGGUGGCGAAGGCGGUCUGCUGGGCAGUAGCUGGCACUGAGGCGCGACAGCGUGGGGAGCAAACAGG